rnacentral:misc_RNA from 1 species
AGAGCGGCGGAUGCCGGGAAGUUGGUCAAACUUGAUCAUUUAGAGGAAGUAAAAGUCGUAACAAGGUUUCCGUAGGUGAACCUGCGGAAGGAUCAUUACCGAUAGCACGAAUCCAAACUGGUUAUCAUUAACCCGUGUGAACUGUACUUAACCUUUAGGGGUCGGUCGCCGUGCCGUUAAAUGGUCGUUCGUCCGUUGAUUCGGCGUUCGGCCAGCCCCGCCUUUCGCCAUUGUGGACGCACUUGAAUGUAGCAGUCUGAAACGAACCUUGCUGCCCGUCCUGUCGGGCAGUAGUGAGUGUAAAAGAAAACGAGAGAGACAACUUUUAACGGUGGAUCUCUUGGCUCACGUAUCGAUGAAGAACGCAGCCAGCUGCGAUAAGUAGUGUGAAUUGCAGAAUUCAGUGAAUCAUUGAAUCUUUGAACGCAAAUGGCGCUCUUGGGUUCUCCCAGGAGCAUGUCUGUCUGAGUGUCGGAUAUUAUCUAACGCACUCGAAAGUGCGGAAUUGAGGCGUCACGGCGUAGUAGACAAAACACAAGUCGCCGUGUCCCUUGAAGGAAAGCGCGCUAGACUCGCAUCGUGCGGUUUCAAACCUGCACUCCAUGCGAAGGCUAAAACUAUUUUGUCCUUCGUCGGGGUGCGGGUCCGCGACAGCGCGAGUCGGCCGAAG